CUACCGCCCACACACACACUCAGAGAGAAAAGAGAGGAAGGGUGACCCCAGAACUCCUCGCAGCCUCCCUGCAGAUUGACUAAGAAAGUGUCCUUUGUAACAGGAGUUUCCUGCACGUAAUUAAAAGAUGUUGGGCCCUGCCCAGAAGGGAGGUGACGGGGCCCCGGGUUGCAGGAUAAGGGAGGUCCGGACAGAAGAUCAGCCAGUUCUCAGGGUCCAGGGCAGGUGGUUCUGAUUUGUGAGGGGCAAACAGUCCACAUCCAAGACCAGUAAAUGGCAGGACACGUGUCGUCACGUCCACUGGUGGAGACCUGCAGGUCACCAGUAAGAAUACACGGUCCAACUAUCCCACUCGUGAUGGGAUAAGUCAUUUUUCAGCCUAAACCUUUUCUCUUAUCCUGAGAUUGUCACUUGUGGCCGCAGUUAAACAUAACUAGUAUUAAAAUGAGCAGAUGCCUGAGUGGAGAAGGAAGUCAAAGUCCAAAGUAGUUUUGUUGCCAUACGUACAAUCACAUUUUUUCCGUGGUGAAAUGGUCAUUUCACGGAUUUCUGCAUCACGCAGCAGACACAGUUAAGGACUGGCGGGGUGAAUGUAGUGAAUAAUUUAUCUGUUAAACAGCCAAAUAUUUCCCCCCCGCAGACACCGAAAACACAGCUGAUUUAAUAUUUGACUUUUAAGUGUCAAAUAGAUGCAAACACAACCUGUCUAUGUUGCUCCGUAUCCCCUGGAUGUGUAAAUAGAAAACUUUAUGCUCACAUUCUCAUGACCAUACAUCAACUUAAAAAGGUGAUAAUGUGUCGAAGCAGCUCUGUUCCCUGAAGCUCUUAUGAGGUGUUCACGUUGUAAAAUGAAUGCACCAUUUGUUCUAGGAACCUGAAGUAGAUGAGCUUUAUACUUUUACUCUGUGAACUUUCAUUUUUGCCGCUGCAACAUGACUUUUCCAAAUGAAAACAGCCGUCUCCCACCAAUCGGGCCCGGAUAGAUUUCCAGACGAGGGGCGGGGGGGCAAACGCAGCAGCUUGCUGUGUCAGGUGUUUUCAGUCGGAGGUUUCAACACCGAUCAAAUGGCCACGCCGAAGCCUUCAAUGAUCCUGGAGCUUUCCCUGCUGUUGGGUCAUCUGCUCGGCUCCGCAUCACCUCCAGGGUUGGGCCCUACUGCCGGCCAGGCGGUCCCACACGCGGCCCUUUCCAUCAGCUUUGUAUUUAUUCGUCCCUCUGGCUCCCCCCUCGGCCUGCACGGGGUCUCUGUUCAGUCUGCC
ensembl:lncRNA